GAUGAAGAACGUAGCGAAAUGUGAUAAGUAGUGUGAAUUGCAGAAUUCAGUGAAUCAUCGAAUCUUUGAACGCACAUUGCGCCUCCUGGUAUUCCGGGAGGCAUGCCUGUUCGAGCGUCAUUAAAAUCACUCAAGCUUAGGUUUACCUAUUGCUUGGUCUUGGAGAUGGAAGCCAAUUUAUUGGAAUCCUCUUCGAAAUUCAAUGGCGAAGACCCUUGCUCUCCCAAGUGUAGUAAUAACUUAUGUCACUGAAGGAAGCGAGAAAUCUUCUGCCGUAACCCCCAUAUUUUCUAUGAUUGACCUCGGAUCAGGUAGGGAUACCCGCUGAACUUAAGCAUAUCAAUAAGCGGAGGA
rnacentral:misc_RNA from 1 species